CCUACGGGAGGCAGCAGUGAGGAAUUUUGGACAAUGGGGGAAACCCUGAUCCAGCCAUGCCGCGUGAGUGAUGAAGGCCUUCGGGUUGUAAAGCUCUUUCAGAUGUGAAGAUAAUGACGGUAGCAUCAGAAGAAGCUCCGGCUAACUCCGUGCCAGCAGCCGCGGUAAUACGGAGGGAGCGAGCGUUAUUCGGAAUUACUGGGCGUAAAGCGUAUGUAGGCGGUUUUGUAAGACAGAUGUGAAAUCCCAGAGCUUAACUUUGGAACUGCAUUUGUGACUGCAUGACUCGAGUAUUGGAGAGGUUAGCGGAAUUCCUAGUGUAGCAGUGAAAUGCGCAGAUAUUAGGAGGAACACCGAUGGCGUAAGCAGCUAACUGGACAAUUACUGACGCUGAGAUACGAAAGUAUGGGGAGCAAACAGGAUUAGAUACCCUGGUAGUCCAUACCAUAAACGAUGUGUGCUAGCUGCGUGGUACGUCUUAGUAGUUCGGUUGGUCGCGACGACGUACGUACGUUAACGUACACCACCGCCGUCGGGUAGGGUACGGUCGGCGAAGAAGUUAAAACGUUAACGAAAGUAAGUAAGUUAGUCGGCGUAGAGACGUACGACCGACGGACGACGACGAGGGGAGGAGG
rnacentral:rRNA from 1 species